rnacentral:misc_RNA from 1 species
UCCGAGUUGACCCCGGCAGUCUCCCGUGAGUCCCCAGCACCACAAAGGGCCUGCUGGCAACACGAGACAAGGGUUGCGCUCGUUGCGGGACUUAACCCAACAUCUCACGACACGAGCUGACGACAGCCAUGCACCACCUGUACACCGGCCACAAGGGAAACCACAUCUCUGCAGCGAUCCGGCGUAUGUCAAGCCUUGGUAAGGUUCUUCGCGUCGCAUCGAAUUAAUCCGCAUGCUCCGCCGCUUGUGCGGGCCCCCGUCAAUUCCUUUGAGUUUCAGUCUUGCGACCGUACUUCCCAGGCGGCGAACUUAACGCGUUAGCUUCGAUACUGAAGGCUCAAUUGCCCCCAACAUCCAGUUCGCAUCGUUUAGGGCGUGGACUAC